rnacentral:rRNA from 1 species
GACGAACGCUGGCGGCGUGUUUAACACAUGCAAGUCGAACGGAAAGGCCCUGCUUUUGUGGGGUGCUCGAGUGGCGAACGGGUGAGUAACACGUGAGUAACCUGCCCUUGACUUUGGGAUAACUUCAGGAAACUGGGGCUAAUACCGGAUAGGAGCUCCUGCUGCAUGGUGGGGGUUGGAAAGUUUCGGCGGUUGGGGAUGGACUCGCGGCUUAUCAGCUUGUUGGUGGGGUAGUGGCUUACCAAGGCUUUGACGGGUAGCCGGCCUGAGAGGGUGACCGGCCACAUUGGGACUGAGAUACGGCCCAGACUCCUACGGGAGGCAGCAGUGGGGAAUAUUGCACAAUGGGCGGAAGCCUGAUGCAGCAACGCCGCGUGCGGGAUGACGGCCUUCGGGUUGUAAACCGCUUUUGCCUGUGACGAAGCGUGAGUGACGGUAAUGGGUAAAGAAGCACCGGCUAACUACGUG